rnacentral:misc_RNA from 1 species
UCCGGUUUGUCACCGGCAGUCUCAUUAGAGUGCUCAACUGAAUGUAGCAACUAAUGACAAGGGUUGCGCUCGUUGCGGGACUUAACCCAACAUCUCACGACACGAGCUGACGACAGCCAUGCAGCACCUGUGUUCAGGUUCCCUUUCGGGCACCUCUGCAUUUCUGCAGAGUUCCUGACAUGUCAAGGGUAGGUAAGGUGGGGAUGACGUAGCUAAGCCUUC